GUGCGGCUGACUUUUGGAAUAUAAUUAAAUUUAUGGAAUUUCAAAUUUUUUUUAAAGUCAAAUUGUUCAACAAAUUAAAUCAUGAUGUUAUUUAAAAAUAUUAAAUGAAGAAAAGUUUUCCAUUAACAAAAAAAUUAGACUUAAACUAUUCUUAAACAAUUUAAUAAAGGUAUGGACUUAAAAUUUGAGUCCAGAGGGUUGGGAGAAAAAACAAUUUGAAUCCGGG
rnacentral:lncRNA from 1 species